rnacentral:rRNA from 1 species
GACGAACGCUGGCGGCGUGCCUAACACAUGCAAGUCGAACGGAAAGGCCCUGCUUUUGUGGGGUGCUCGAGUGGCGAACGGGUGAGUAACACGUGAGUAACCUGCCCUUGACUUUGGGAUAACUUCAGGAAACUGGGGCUAAUACCGGAUAGGAGCUCCUGCUGCAUGGUGGGGGUUGGAAAGUUUAGGCGGUUGGGGAUGGACGCGGGGCUUAUCAGCUUGUUGGUGGGGUAGUGGCUUACGAAGUCUUUGGAGGGUAGCCGGCCCGGGAGGGUGGCCAGGGACCAUGGGCCUGAGAGAGGGCGCAGAGUGGAAUGUGGGGCAGUAGGGGGGAGUAUGGUCCAGUGGUGGGAAGUGUGUGGCAGAGGUGUUCGGAUUGUGAAGCAGGCUUUGUUGGUGGAAAGCGCAGUAGCUUGAUACGAAGCUUUAGUGACGGUAAUGGGUGAAUAAGCACCGGCUAACUACGUG